rnacentral:rRNA from 1 species
AUCGAACGCUGGCGGCAGGCCUAACACAUGCAAGUCGAACGAGUGGCGGACGGGUGAGUAACGCCUGGGUAACUGCCCGAUGGAGGGGGAUAACUACUGGAAACGGUAGCUAAUACCGCAUACCAUCGGAUGUGCCCAGAUGGGAUUAGCUAGUAGGUGGGGUAAAGGCUCACCUAGGCGACGAUCCCUAGCUGGUCUGAGAGGAUGACCGGCCACACUGGAACUGAGACACGGUCCAGAGUCCUACGGGAGGCAGCAGUGGUGAAUAUUGCACUAUGGGCGCAAGCAUGAUACAGCCAUGCCGCGUGUAUGAGUAAGGCCUUCGGGUUGUAAAGUACUUUCAGCGGGGAGGCGUUACCGGCAGAAGAAGCGCCGGCUAACUCCGUGCCAGCAGCCGCGGUAAUUC